AUUGAACGCUGGCGGCAGGCCUAACACAUGCAAGUCGAGCGGAUGAAGGGAGCUUGCUCCUGGAUUCAGCGGCGGACGGGUGAGUAAUGCCUAGGAAUCUGCCUGGUAGUGGGGGAUAACGUCCGGAAACGGGCGCUAAUACCGCAUACGUCCUGAGGGAGAAAGUGGGGGAUCUUCGGACCUCACGCUAUCAGAUGAGCCUAGGUCGGAUUAGCUAGUUGGUGGGGUAAAGGCCUACCAAGGCGACGAUCCGUAACUGGUCUGAGAGGAUGAUCAGUCACACUGGAACGGGGACACGCACCCGAGUCCUACGGGAGGCAGCAGUGGGGAAUGUGGGACAGUGGGCGAAAGCCUGAUCCAGUCAUGCCGAGUGUGUGAAGAAGGUCUUCGGAUUGUAAAGCACUUUAAGUUGGGAGGAAGGGCAGUAAGUUAAUACCUUGCUGUUUUGACGUUACCAACAGAAUAAGCACCGGCUAACUUCGUG
rnacentral:rRNA from 1 species